CAUUUGGUAUUAGUUUAAUUCUUAGAGACUGUUACUAUAUACCUGCUGCUAGCAGGAAUUUGAUUUUUAUUUCUUAUUUAGCACAGGAUAACUAUGUAAUUAAUUUUCAUAAGGACUACUGUACCAUUUAUUUUGGAAAUAAAAUGGUUAGAAAUGAUUUCUUAAUAAACAUUCUCUAUUAAUUAUAUGUUGAUGUGUCUGUGAAUGUUACCGAGUAGGAAGUGAGU
rnacentral:lncRNA from 1 species